rnacentral:rRNA from 1 species
AUUGAACGCUGGCGGCAGGCCUAACACAUGCAAGUCGAACGGCAGCACAGUAAUUGCUUGCGCUUACGGGUGGCGAGUGGCGGGCGGUUGAGGAAUACAUCGGAGUCUACUGUUUCUUGGGGGAUAACGUAGGGAAACUUACGCUAAUACCGCAUACGGCCUACGGGUGAAAGCAUGGGAUCUUCGGACCUUGCGUGAUUGUAGGAGCCGAUGUCGGAUUAGCGAGUUGGCGGGGUAAAGGCCCCCCAAGGUGACGAUCCGUAGCUGGGCUGAGAGGAUGAUCAGCAAAAUUGAACCUGAGAACCGGCCAAGACUCGUAGGGAAGGCAGAGGUGGGGAAUAUUGGCAAAUGGGCGAAAGCCUGAUCAAGCAAUACCGGGUGGGUGAAGAAGGCCUUCGGGUUGUAAAGCCUUUUUGUUGGGAAAGAAAAGAAGAAGGUUAAUCCCCCGCUGUUCUGACGGUACAAAAAGAAUAAGCACCGGCUAAUUCCGU